ACGCAAAUCACCCAGAAAAAGAUCAUACAAUAAAAGAAAUGAAAUAAAAAAGAAAUGGAAGAAGAAAUGGCUGAAAAAAUGAUAGGGCAGCUUGAUCUAGUUAUCCACCUCGGAAGAUCAAGACUGUUGGAAAUGGCUAAUGAUAUUGUGGAAGCGUUUUCUCACAGAGCUUGCUAAUCAGACAAAGACUAUACUAGAGAGCAUUUGAUGUAUGAUAACAACAAGGGAACUCAACUAUAUACCUUUUGAAUAUUAAGCCAUUAAAUUAUUUUAUAAUUUUGAAAAAGAGUGUAAUGAUUGUAAAUGCUAAUAAGUUAUCUGUUGCAUUUGGCUUGUUAUUUAAAUAUUUUAUUUUUGUUUUUAAUGUUAAAUAUCCUUCCCAAACACAAUUAUAUAUUAAUUCUCUCCAGAAAUUUAUGUAAAAUAUAGACUGUAAAGUGACCUAUAAAUCACUUAGAAUUUGAUCGGAAAUCAUAAAGUAUUAAAUAGGCAUUAUCUCGAAACCAAAUGCAGAUCGAAUAUACAAAGAAUUAUAAAAAAAAAACCUUUAGGUACAUUAAGGUGACUUUCCUUAUGAAAUGAAAUGCGAUUUAACAUCCUACUUUUCUAUGUUAUGAGGGUAUUUCUGCCCUGGUAGUUAAGGUGACUUUCCCUUGCUUAUAAAAUAAAGGGGCGGGGCGAAUGGUUAGGACGUGCGGGCUGUAUCAUAAGGGUUGUCAUUGGGUAAACUGGCGUGAUUUCGAUUCCCCGGUUGUACGUGACAAGGAGUAGGGUGCCUGUCCAACCUCGUGGGUUUUCUUUGGGUCGUCCGGUUUCCUCUCACUGGUAAAGACCUUUAUGCACAAUCGAAUUAUCGGAAUAAAAUUGAACAAUAUAUUAGUCCCGAAAUAACCUGGUUUUGUGUCGAGUGGAUACUCACUGAACCACCAUGGCUUCCCUUGCUUAUGACUGGUAUAUAAAUAGUUUGUACAUUUGUACAAGUCUCUUAUAUUUCAUUUGUAUGUAGUUUUUCAGUUUUUGUGCAUAAUUAAUGUCUUUAGUGCUUGUUUUGACUAUUUAGGGGGCAUGGGUUAGGGAUAUUGUGUACAUAUCUAUUAAAUUCUCAUUUCUUUUUAAGGGGUGACUUUUAGAAAAGAAAUAAAAAAAUAAAAUAAUUAAGUUUGUUUUUAUUUUUGGUGGG